AUUGAACGCUGGCGGCAGGCUUAACACAUGCAAGUCGAGCGAGCGGCGGACGGGUGAGUAAUGUCUGGGAAACUGCCUGAUGGCGGGGGAUAACUACUGGAAAGGGUAGCUAAUACCGCAUACCAUCAGAUGUGCCCAGAUGGGAUUAGCUAGUGGGUGGGGUAAUGGCUCACCAAGGCAACGAUCCGUAGCUGGUUUGAGAGGAUGACCAGCCACCCUGGGACUGAGACACGGCCCAGACUCCGACGGGAGGCAGCAGUGGGGAAUAUUGGACAAUGGGCGAAAGCCUGAUGCAGCCAUGCCGCGUGUGUGAAGAAGGCCUUCGGGUUGUAAAGCACUUUCGGCGGGGAAGCGUUACUCGCAGAAGAAGCACCGGCUAACUCCGUGCCAGCAGCCGCGGUAAUUC
rnacentral:rRNA from 1 species